ensembl:lincRNA
AAAAGUUUUAGGAUUUCUGUUCCAGGAACAGGAAAAAAAUGUAUUUUUAAAAAUGUACCAUAAAAGCAUUAGUAAUUUCCAAGUGGUGAAGGUGUGAAGAACAAGCAGUAUUCUGCUAAUUUACUCCAGUACUUAUUCAUAGAAAUAAGAAAUCAUGGACAUAGCAAAUCAUAUCAGGAAAACCAGACAUAUGGACUUAGCAAACUUUCCAGAUACAACUCCCUUGCCUGAGACAUAUGAAAGGAGAAGCGUUCCAAAACUGAUACAGCUGCACCACCAAUCUGGUCACCUGGUCAUCUGCUACAAACCUCGCCUGCUCCUAGGGCUUCAGCUCAGUGCAGUUUCUCCUGCUCCUGAUGCAACAUGGCCCACUUCAAGCUGGCGCUUUCCAAACUGUCUGUAUUCUGGACCUCUUUCAUCUGACAGCUCAGCCCUGGGACCAACCGUAUUUCCAGUUCUCCUCCUGUGGAUGUCCUUGGUCCCCUUGGGUUGAGUUGCCCAGUUUGACUGCAUCUGGCCAGUGAGCUGUGAUCCGCUUCAGUGCCUGAGCACUCACUUGCUAAUAUAACCCCCCCCAACACUAUUCCAGCUUGGCAGCAACUCUGGGAUUACAUGAGCAGAGAUCCCUGCUGACCUGAAGGUGGUAGUGUCCAAAAGAUAUAAACCUUUUUUAAAGCCACUUAUAUUUGGUGUAGGAAGUAGGAUUUGUUGUUGUUGUUGUUCCUGGAACAUAAUUGUGCUUAUCCUAACCAACAGAAUCAUAGUUACAAACCUCAUAUACUCCCAAUGGGCAACGGAACAGUAGUUACAAAGGAAUGGCCUAAAAAUGACCCUUGGUAGUUAUCUUUAUACCUUCCUGGCGGGAAAAAGUGACUAAACAAUUCUUCACUUGACUGCUUUAGUUGUUGUAGAAAGUAGUUCUGUCAUGUGGCUAUGUCAAGUGAUAUUUUCAUAUGGUGGUAAAGAAAUCAUAUCAUGACUAAGUUGCCUCAUGGAUUUUGCUUAGCGACCAGCACAGACAGUCACAGUGGCCCUAACCAUUUAUAGACUGAUAGGUGUUAAGAAUCCCAGGGUGAUGAUCUAGGCCAGAUGGGAUAUUUAAGCAGCUUUUCACAGGUUGUCAAUUUCAUGGGUAUCUGUGGGUUCACUUAUGUUUGCUUAUUAUUAAUCCAUGUAUUUUUGUAAGCCUGCAGGAGAAAAGGGAAAAAAAAGAACUUCACAUUGGGUCGUAUUAAGAGAUCAUGUGGAGAGUUUGAACUUUGUAAUCUUUUUUUCUUUCUUUUCAUUUUCACAACUAUCCUUUGUGGUAAAUACAGUUUACCCUUCUCAUUAUCACCUUGAUCAAGAUCACACAGGCAUAGCUGGGACUUAAAUUCAGAAAGCCCAAAGCCGACGGUAGUGCUGUGAUCCCCAAGCUUUCCUGUUUCUGGAAUGAGAGGGAAUAGAGUGCUGAGCACACAUGCGACAAUCUUUUUGUCAUUUGGGAACUGGGGGAAUCUGAGAAGUGAGCCCAGCAAAGAAGAAGGAAAUAGCAUUUGGAGCACAAACGCAGCGUGUGGAAGGCCUGAGCGUUGUAGUAGUCGUGUUGUAGGGUCUUAAAGACAACCACCCUGGCUAGAGCCUCAUGAGCAGGAGGAGCAGUGAAACUGUGCAGGUAGGUGUCCUUGUUAAGGAGAAGAAAUCACAGCAUUGAGGUG